CCUACGGGGGGCAGCAGUGGGGAAUAUUGCACAAUGGGGGAAACCCUGAUGCAGCGACGCCGCGUGAGUGAAGAAGUAAUUCGUUACGUAAAGCUCUAUCAGCAGGGAAGAAACACUGACCUUACGGUCAGCAGACGGUACCUGAGUAAGAAGCCCCGGCUAACUACGUGCCAGCAGCCGCGGUAAUACGUAGGGGGCAGGCGUUAUCCGGAGUUACUGGGUGUAAAGGGAGCGUAGACGGGGCGCCAAGUCUGGAGUGAAAUGCCGCAGCUUAACUGCGGAACUGCUUUGGAAACUGGCGAACCAGGAUGCGAGAAGGGUAAGCGGAAUUCCUAGUGUAGCGGUGGAAUGCGUAGAUAUUAG
rnacentral:rRNA from 1 species